GGCAAACGCUGGCGGCGUGCCUAAAACAUGCAAGUCGAACGCACUCUGUACUUGUACAGGGUGAGUGGCAGACGGCUGAGUAACGCGUGGGUGACGUACCCGAUGGUGGGGAAUAACUGCCCGAAAGGGUGGCUAAUACCGCAUACGCCUGGCAGAUCAAGCUGCCAGGGAAAGUCGCAAGACGCCAUUGUUCGAGCGGCCCGCGUUCGAUUAGCUGGUUGGNGGGGUAACGGCCUACCAAGGCGACGAUCGAUAGCUGGUCUCAGAGGAUGAUCAGCCAGACUGGGACUGAGACACGGCCCAGACUCCUACGGGAGGCAGCAGUUAGGAAUUUUGGGCAAUGGGCGCAAGCCUGACCCAGCAACGCCGCGU
rnacentral:rRNA from 1 species